UCUUCCCUCUGGCGGCGUGCCUAAUACAUGCAAGUCGAGCGAACAGAUUAGGAGCUUGCUCCUCUGACGUUAGCGGCGGACGGGUGAGUAACACGUGGAUAACCUACCUAUAAGACUGGGAUAACUUCGGGAAACCGGAGCUAAUACCGGAUAAUAUAUUGAACCGCAUGGUUCAAUAGUGAAAGACGGUUUUGCUGUCACUUAUAGAUGGAUCCGCGCCGCAUUAGCUAGUUGGUAAGGUAACGGCUUACCAAGGCAACGAUGCGUAGCCGACCUGAGAGGGUGAUCGGCCACACUGGAACUGAGACACGGUCCAGACUCCUACGGGAGGCAGCAGUAGGGAAUCUUCCGCAAUGGGCGAAAGCCUGACGGAGCAACGCCGCGUGAGUGAUGAAGGUCUUCGGAUCGUAAAACUCUGUUAUUAGGGAAGAACAAAUGUGUAAGUAACUAUGCACGUCUUGACGGUACCUAAUCAGAAAGCCACGGCUAACUACGUG
rnacentral:rRNA from 1 species